rnacentral:rRNA from 1 species
UACGAAGGGGGCUAGCGUUGCUCGGAAUCACUGGGCGUAAAGGGCGCGUAGGCGGCCGAUUAAGUCGGGUGUGGAAUCCCUGGGCUCAACCCAGGAAGUGCACUCGAAACUGGCGAGCUUGAGUACUGAAGAGGGUCGCGGAAUUCCCGGUGUAGAGGUGAAAUUCGUAGAUAUCGGGAGGAACACCAGUGGCGAAGGCGGCGACCUGGGCAGAUACUGACACUGAGGUGCGAAAGCGUGGGGAGCAAACAGG